rnacentral:rRNA from 1 species
CCUACGUGAGGCAGCAGUGAGGAAUAUUGGUCAAUGGCCGGAAGGCUGAACCAGCCAUGCCGCGUGAAGGUCAGUGCCCUAUGGGCGUUAAACUUCUUUUGUGCGGGAGCAAUAAUGGUCACGUGUGGCCAGACGAGAGUACCGUACGAAUAAGCAUCGGCUAACUCCGUGCCAGCAGCCGCGGUAAGACGGGGGAUGCAAGCGUUAUCCGGAGUUAUUGGGUUUAAAGGGUUCGUAGGCUGUGAGGUAAGUCAGCGGUGAAAUGACCCCGCGCCACGGGGUGAAGUGCCAUUGAUACUGGCUGGCUGGAAUGCGGAUGCCGUGGGAGGAAUGUGUGGUGUAGCGGUGAAAUGCAUAGAUAUCACAAAGAACACCGAUUGCGAAGGCAUCUCACGAAUCCGCGAUUGACGCUGAUGCACGAAAGCGUGGGUAUCAAACAGGAUUAGAUACCCCAGUAGUC